CGCAUCUGUGCAUGCAGCAUAUCAAUAAGCGGAGGAAAAGAAACUAACAAGGAUUCCCUUAGUAACGGCGAGUGAAGCGGGAAGAGCUCAAAUUUGAAAUCUUCAAGGUUUUACCUUGACGAAUUGUAGUUUAAAGAAGUGUUUUCUGUUGAAGUUUUGGUAAAAGUUCUUUGGAAUAGGACAUCAUAGAGGGUGAGAAUCCCGUAUUUGACCAUUAUUUUCAGCUGUGUGAUACACUUUCAAAGAGUCGGAUUGUUUGGGAAUGCAGUCCAAAAUGGGUGGUAAAUUUCAUCUAAAGCUAAAUAUUGGCGAGAGACCGAUAGCGAACAAGUACCGUAGAGGGAAAGAUGAAAAGAACUUUGAAAAGAGAGUUAAACAGUACGUGAAAUUGUCAAAAGGGAAGCGUUUGACACCAGUGUUGUUUUCUCGAAAAUCAAUUAAAAAGAGUUAGAUUUUGUUGUGUAUUGACCUUAACAGCUUGCAUUUCAAUUUUCUUGCUCUUUUUAAUGCACUUUUCGUUUAACAAGUCAACAUCAGUUUCUUUUGUUGUAAAAAGGUCAUUGGAAGGUGGCUUUCUUUUCGGAGAAAGUGUUUAUAGCCUUUGACUCCUGCAAUCGGAGAGACUGAGGUCUGCAGCGUAGAUCCUUCGGGGUUAGAUACAUUUGUGCUAAGUUAUAGCUUUUUAUAGACAACUUGUUGACUAUGAUUAGUCUUGUAGCUUACUCGCUUAUGCUAUUUUACCUACGCUUAGGAUGUUGAUGUGAUACUGCGAGC
rnacentral:rRNA from 1 species